rnacentral:lncRNA from 1 species
GGACAAAAGCUCAAGUGCUCGCUCAGAGGUCAAGAGCGCUUGGCACACAAUCCUGAGAACUGGAGUCGUGUCCUGGGACCUACAUAAGGGACCACGGCAGAGGAGACAGAAGAAUCACUGGGACUUGAUACUUCCAACUCCGCUAAGAAACCCUGGCCCUGAGUUCCACGAUAGACCCUCCCUCCUACGAAAGGAACAAGCAGAGAUGACUAGAAAAGGAUAGCCCUCGCCAAGCGGUGGUGGCACGCAGCUUGGAGCCCAGCACUGGGAAGGCAAAGGGUGUUUCUUUGUGUAGCCCUG